ensembl:lncRNA
CCAGGUGUAUGUCUUCUCUCUCAGGUGUGUGUAUGUCCUCUCAAUCAGGUGUAUGUCUUCUCUUCCAGGUGUGUGUAUGUCUUCUCUCUCAGGUGUGUGUGUGUCUUCUCUCUCAGGUGUAUGUCUUCUCUUCCAGGUGUGUGUAUGUCUUCUCUCUCAGGUGUGUGUGUGUCUUCUCUCCCAGGUGUAUGUCUUCUCUCUCAGGUGUGUGUGUGUGUCUUCUCUCUCAGGUGUAUGUCUUCUCUUCCAGGUGUGUGUAUGUCCUCUCUCCCAGGUGUGUGUAUGUCUUCUCUCUCAGGUGUAUGUCUUCUCUCCCAGGUGUGUGUAUGUCUUCUCUCUCAGGUGUGUGUAUGUCUUCUCUCCCAGGUGUGUGU